AAAAGUCAAGUGAAAAUAGUCAAAGUCAAAUAUCAACAGACAGUUGGGGAAACAUUGCUCAGUAAGAAACAUAACUACAAUUCCAUUGGAAAGAAAUCAACAUCUAGACUACCUUUCACUACUCAAGAAAACCUUGAUCCCUCUGUGAAUUACCUGAUCGAAAUCCAUUUUUGGUUCCAAAAACCUUUUCAUCUCUUGGUCAGGUACAGAAGAACUAAAGUUUCCUGACAAGGCAAAUGCACUUGAAGAUACACUUUACCUUCCUUUUCAACCUCAUACAUUUUUACAUGAACGUAAUUUGUCUGAGCAACAACACUGCUACAAGAAAGUUGCGUCAAUUUCUGGUCCUACCAACAGUGAAUUGAUCAGUAAGGUAGUACAAUUACACACUGAGUUCCAUGAGGAUGCUGAGCAAUAUCCAUUACAAACAGCAACUUACACCACUCCUGAAGUCCUACAUCUAGCUGAGAAUCAUGAUGAGAUUGUCCUAUCACCGUGCCUAUCUCAAAGUGAGUUCCAUGAAGAGGCUAAGCAAUUUACGGCUCCAACAGAGACAACAACCUCUACUAAAGUACAUCUACCACCUCAUCUACCUAAGAAGAAUGUUGAGUUUGUCGUAUCCCACACUGAGUUUCAGGAGGAGAAUAUGCAAGAUCCUUCACAAAUAGAGACUCUG